CACCGAUAUACCAAGCGUGAAUAAAGUGAUAGCCACGAAGACUGAAUCUGUGAACAGUCUUAGCAGUAUAAGAUAAUUAUUAACGACAGAAGCAUUAUUAAAAAACGGCUAGAGUUAGUCAUACAAAGUUCGGUAAACCCCAUCAACGUGGGGUGUUUGCGUAGGCUUGAAACCGCUCCGGAACCGGCUGUCACACGGCGUGCUAGCGUCGCAACCCUGAAUCUCGAUAUUGUGGGCGCAAGGAGAACCACGUGCGAGAGGCAACGUUAAACACACAUCUCUAACUGCUCGAAUUCGUCUGAAACCUGACCCGAGCUGCUUGAAAACGCCUGCUGGUCCCGCUAAACCGCCGGCUGCGUGAUCGUCCACAUUCAAGCCGUUCUCCGACCGUUUCACGUGGUCAGUGAUCGAAUCGGGCCGAAAAUCAUCGCAACGUAAAGUUCACCACAUGCUUCGCCGUACCAACUGUGACCGCCGAUCUACACCGCCUACAUCGAGUUCGUGAAGGAUCGCCGCUGGAGAUUGUGGCAAGUACUUUACCAAGAAAGAAGACCAUAGUGUUACGCUAAGUGAAAACUAUGUACUCAGGCUUAGGCUAGGUUGCAUACCUGCAGGGAAAUAUAGAAGAGCUCUUAACGAUUAACUAGAUAUACCUUCUUCGCUAAAGUGAUCGAUUCAAAUAUUAGUUGUAAAUUUCGAUGAUUUGCUAGAGGCCCAAGAAUUAUCUUUCGAAUCGGUGUCCGUAAGUUGGUCGUUCGGAUUGGUCAAAUGUUCCAGAGUGUUAGAGCCACUUUUCAACUCGCCCUUUGACGGAGUCUUAUAGCCGGACUCAAUCUGCGUCGGCAGCCUCCUUUUGAUCAAGGAGUGGCGCUGAAGCUGCUGUACGUUGUGUGCACACACGAACGUUACAAUGUCAACGAACACUUUUCCCACGAUCGAGAUGGCUGAUAUGAGGAGCUACAAGAUUGCUACAAUCAAUUUGAACGCAGUGACAAACGGGACAAAACUCGAUGCCCUGAAUACCUUUAUCCGGUCCGCCGAACUAGAUGUUAUCCUCCUGCAGGAAGUGGCAACAACAAAUCUCAACAUACCAGGCUUCAUCAUUGAGUACAAUGUAGAUGAGCAUAAAAGAGGAACAGCGAUUGCAGCACGAAGUUUUCUAUCCCUUACGCAUGUUGAUAGAAGCAUAGACUCGAGAUUAAUCUGCGCACGGAUCAAUGACGUCACACAUCAACGUUUACGCUCCAUCGGGAACGCAAAAUCGAAACGCGCGGGAAAACUUCUACAACAACGUGCUACCGUACUACUUCUACAACUCCACGAACCGAGUUAUCAUUGGUGGUGACUUCAAUUCAGUUGUAAACCAAAAAGAUGCUACUGGUUCAAACGCACACAGCCCAAUGCUCAAACGAUUCAUGACCGCUUCAGGUGUAGACGAUAGCUGGGAGGUCCUAAACCGCCAACACGUCGAAUUUUCUUUUAUUAGGUCCGAUUCUGCCUCUAGGAUAGAUAGAAUUCUUGUCACGCCGAAUAUGCGAGGCUGGAUCCGAACUGCAAAUUUUGUUGCUACAGCCUUCUCUGAUCACAAAGCAUACAUAAUCCGCACUGUUCUUCCAACACUUGGAAAUCCACCUGGUCGUGGAAUAUGGCGUAUGCAUCCGAGCUUGGUUGAUGAUCCAGCGGUCAUUGAGGAACUACACGUGAAAUGGAGGUACUGGACAAGGCAUCGACGGAACUUUCGUACGUGGAUUGACUGGUGGAUUCAAUUCGUGAAGCCAAAACUGAUCGCCUUCCUUAAAAGGAAAUCGUCCAUUAAACGGCGCUCAUUCCAUGAUACAAUAGAACUGUACUAUGCCAUGCUUCGUUCAGCCUAUGAUCGUUAUUAUGGCGAUCCUCACCAGCUGCAAACAAUAAAUCACAUUAA